GAAUUCUUAUCAUGUGAUCAAAACCAGCGCCCCCUUCUCCAGUUAAAAGAAAAAAAAUGAACAAAAAGAAGUUCUGUGUACAUCUAUGGGGGGGAAAAGGAAUGAAAAUAGUAAAAAGGCUUGUGUCUUGUAUUGCUUUGCCACUGAUCCCUGGCACAGAGAGUAAGAGCCUUCCGGAGCGCGGCGGUGUGGCCCGGGGAGCCGCACGGGACAGUCCGCCUCAUGGUGCGGUGCAGCGGGGACCUUCAGAGCGCAACUCCGGGAGUUUGGUUCAGGAUGCGGCUGAGGAUGAGCGGCUGCUUAACCUGUUUCCAUGGCCAUACACAGUAAUUGGGCUGCAGUUACUGGAUUCCUAAUUUCCAUCAUCUAUUGGGGAAGACUCUCUGUCUCUACUUACCUCACCACUCCUCCAACAGCCGUUCUAAGACCUGCUCCUCAGACUCUUUACAAUUGUUCUCUGUUCACCAAUCACCAUAUCGUGCAUUGACACGCCAUCCUUGAAGAUGUUUUUAAACCCCAGCUUGGUGUCUCCUUUAAGAUUUAUAAGUGAAUUACUUAAAAAUCAUCAGACAAGAUGGGAAACUUUGGGCCAGACUAUUAUGACUAUUAAUUUUUUCCGUGAACGGAGAAAACAGACUUAAAGGAAAUUUUAUUUGCUCUUAGGGGUGUUAUGUUAGUGUAACAUAAUGUUUUUAUGUCUUUCAUCUGAAGUCCUUUCAUAUUUGUCUGUAACAGGCUGCUUUGUGCAAAAAUAAAGGCUAUAACAGUG